rnacentral:rRNA from 1 species
GACGAACGCUGGCGGCGUGCCUAAUACAUGCAAGUAGAACGCUGAAGAGAGGAGCUUACUCUUCUUGGAUGAGUUGCGAACGGGUGAGUAGCGCGUAGGUAACCUGCCUUGUAGCGGGGGAUAACUAUUGGAAACGAUAGCUAAUACCGCAUAACAAUGGAUGACACAUGUCAUUUAUUUGAAAGGGGCAAUUGCUCCACUACAAGAUGGACCUGCGUUGUAUUAGCUAGUAGGUGAGGUAAUGGCUCACCUAGGCGACGAUACAUAGCCGACCUGAGAGGGUGAUCGGCCACACUGGGACUGAGACACGGCCCAGACUCCUACGGGAGGCAGCAGUAGGGAAUCUUCGGCAAUGGGGGCAACCCUGACCGAGCAACGCCGCGUGAGUGAAGAAGGGUUUCGGAUCGUAAAGCUCGGUUGUAAGUCAAGAACGGGUGUGAGAGUGGAAAGUUCACACUGUGACGGUAGCUUACCAGAAAGGGACGGCUAACUACGUG